rnacentral:antisense_RNA from 1 species
AACUGGCCUGUGUAAGCGGAUGGGCUCGGCCUCAAGGACAGGGUGCUCGGCUGAAAAAAAAGCUAGCGGCGAUCACCGGUGCCAGGGCUCUCCAGAAACGGAGCCCAUCUAACCAAUGCCCAGCACACUCGCUCUGCUCCACACACGAGACCACCUCCGACCCGCACUAAGUUGGCCAACUGCACUCUGGAGGCGGCGGCAGCCAGCGAGGGAGAAGGGGAAGGCUGUCCCGGGACCCCGAGGAGGACUGCCCCGCCCCCGGGAACCGGGUGCGGCAUAAAACAACCCCGGCUCCGGGCCGACCCUUCCUGGCCCCUGGAGGCCCAGGCGGGGCGGCGGGGGGCGACGCGGCAGGGGUCUCCGCGCCCAGGCUCCCGCGGAGCGGCCACACGUGGAGGUUCCCAUUUUGGGGUCGCGGCCGCAGCAGCACCGGGCGGGAUGCUGUCCGCGCUGCCCGCGUACGGCCGCGGCCUCAGUGGAGACGCCUGCCCCCAGCCCCGCGGCCUCGGCCCCCGUCCGCCCUCCCUCCCUGCUCGGCGGCCUCGUACUCACGCUGACUUCAUGGCAGCAGGCUCCACGCCGCCCAAACGCGCGUGCGGGACGGCUGGCUGGCGAAGACUGCGGGACGUUAGGACCGGCAGCAAGAACUAGAACUCCGCGGCUAAGGCGCGGUGCUCUGCGAAGCCGGCGGCGACGCUAAGAGCCCAGGUGAGCUCCCGCCUGGCGCAUUUCAAACGGGCCAAUCAGCGCCCGUCCGCAGGGAGAGGCAGGACCUCCGCGGAAGUGACUGCGCUGCCGGAAGUGGCGCUUGUCUCCUAGGCGACCGACGCUGAAAGGGCCGCGGAGUCGCGUGUCAGGGCUGGAGGGAGAUCUUGAGAAACUCCACUUUGAUCUGUACUAAGAAAAAUCUUCUUAUUUAUUUUCUCAGUCUCUCGUCCCACCUGACGAGAAAUACCCACAGGUGUGGAGGGGCUGGCCCCCUUCACCUGGGUCUCGACUCCUGUUUUGUUCUACGGUUCCCAUUGCAGUGCUGUGAUCCCCCAGAAGCUCAGGAAAACAACUGACUUCCUGGUGUUGCCAACAGGCAGAGAGGAGAUGCAGCCAGUCCUUACCCUGUAGAAGAUGGGGAGGGAGUCCCAGGUGUACGGAUAAGCAAAGGCGAGGACACGAAUCACCUUACAGAGUCUGGGCUUCUGGAUUUCAAGAAACCUAAAUCAGGGAAGGAAAGUGGGGAGGAAAUGGAAUGAAAAGAGUAUCAGCAAAUUGCAUACGCACAUGCAUGCACACCGAGGGCCUGGUCAUCAACAGAGGACAAGCAUUUUUCUACAAGCUCCUGUGGCCAGCAGCUUCUCCACCAGCCUCGUCCAUUCCUCCCACCCCAAUGGAAGUGACAAAACUUCAGAUGCAAAAAGAUCUCCAGGGACACCAUCUCCUGACCAUGGGAAGCAGUGGUGUCCAGACUAAGCCAGAAAGGAGGCGCUGGGCAGAAACCCUUCAAGGGCCAAGUUAUGUAACUGCCAAAGAACCUUUUAAAACUCUAGUUGCUACAGGGACAGGGAACGGGUAGGGGGAAUCAGGGGAUCCACUGCCACAGACUCUUGGGGGGCACACUCUGCAAAGGCUGAGAUGCACCCAUCUAGUUGGAGCCCAGGUAUUAUCAUGCAGGAGACCUGGGUUCAAGUAGGUGUUUGACCCUUGGAGAGCUUUCUGGAAUAUUUAUACCACACACAGGGAUACUUGGCUUGGGAAAACUAAAUAAACGUGAGGUCUUUC